UACAGAGGGUGCGAGCGUUAAUCGGAAUUACUGGGCGUAAAGCGCACGUAGUCGGCUUUGCAAGUCGGGUGUGAAAUCCCCGGGCUCAACCUGGGAGCUGCAUCCGAGACUGCAUUGCUAGAGUAUGGGAGAGGGAAGCGGAAUUUCUGGUGUAGCAGUGAAAUGCGUAGAUAUCAGAAGGAACAUCAGUGGCGAAGGCGGCUUCCUGGACCAAUACUGACGAUCAGGUGCGAAAGCGUGGGGAGCAAACAGG
rnacentral:rRNA from 1 species